CCUACGGGGGGCAGCAGUGGGGAAUAUUGGACAAUGGGCGAAAGCCUGAUCCAGCCAUGCCGCGUGUGUGAAGAAGGCCUUCGGGUUGUAAAGCACUUUCAGUGGGGAAGAAAGCCUUGGGGCUAAUACCCUCGAGGAAGGACAUCACCCACAGAAGAAGCACCGGCUAACUCCGUGCCAGCAGCCGCGGUAAUACGGAGGGUGCGAGCGUUAAUCGGAAUUACUGGGCGUAAAGCGCGCGUAGGCGGUCUGAUAAGCCGGUUGUGAAAGCCCCGGGCUCAACCUGGGAACGGCAUCCGGAACUGUCAGGCUAGAGUGCAGGAGAGGAAGGUAGAAUUCCCGGUGUAGCGGUGAAAUGCGUAGAGAUCGGGAGGAAUACCAGCGGCGAAGGCGGCCUUCUGGACUGACACUGACGCUGAGGUGCGAAGGCGUGGGUAGCAAACAGGAUUAGAUACCCUAGUAGUC
rnacentral:rRNA from 1 species